GUACACUCCUACGGGAGGCAGCAGUGGGGAAUAUUGGACAAUGGGCGCAAGCCUGAUCCAGCCAUGCCGCGUGAGUGAUGAAGGCCCUAGGGUUGUAAAGCUCUUUCACCGGUGAAGAUAAUGACGGUAACCGGAGAAGAAGCCCCGGCUAACUUCGUGCCAGCAGCCGCGGUAAUACGAAGGGGGCUAGCGUUGUUCGGAUUUACUGGGCGUAAAGCGCACGUAGGCGGACUAUUAAGUCAGGGGUGAAAUCCCGGGGCUCAACCCCGGAACUGCCUUUGAUACUGGUAGUCUUGAGUUCGAGAGAGGUGAGUGGAAUUCCGAGUGUAGAGGUGAAAUUCGUAGAUAUUCGGAGGAACACCAGUGGCGAAGGCGGCUCACUGGCUCGAUACUGACGCUGAGGUGCGAAAGCGUGGGGAGCAAACAGGAUUAGAUACCCGGGUAGUCC
rnacentral:rRNA from 1 species